ACUAUGUUAUCAGAGAAAGAAAAAGAAGGAAUUAAUUGCAUCCUCCAGAAACUAAGUGAUUCUACACUAGAAUCACUUGUAUUUACGACUACCAAAGGCUUAAUUAAAGCAGAAAGUAGAAAAGAAGCGAUAAAAGCCAUAAUUAAUUACUCGGAAUCGGCUUAUGAGCUAUUGAAAAGAAAAAAAAAAAAGAAUAUUUAUUUAACUUCCUAAAGGAAAAUAAUGUUAUUAUUUCUGUAACAUCUGAAAAAUGGAUGGUGAUCAAGGAAUGCCUCAAAUUUUGGAAUUCGGAUACGACCCAAGUCG